AGAGUUUGAUCCUGGCUCAGGACGAACGCUGGCGGUAUGCCUAAUACAUGCAAGUCGAACGCUGAAGCACUCUGCUUGCAGAGUGUGGAUGAGUGGCGAACGGGUGAGUAACACGUGGGUAACCUGCCCAUAAGAGGGGGAUAACAUCCGGAAACGGGUGCUAAUACCGCAUAGGUGAACGGAGCGCAUGCUCUGUUCAUUAAAGAUGGCCUUGUGCUAUCGCUUAUGGAUGGACCCGCGGCGUAUUAGCUAGUUGGUGAGGUAAUGGCUCACCAAGGCGAUGAUACGUAGCCGACCUGAGAGGGUGAUCGGCCACACUGGGACUGAGACACGGCCCAGACUCCUACGGGAGGCAGCAGUAGGGAAUCUUCCACAAUGGGCGAAAGCCUGAUGGAGCAAUACCGCGUGAGUGAAGAAGGUCUUCGGAUCGUAAAGCUCUGUUGUUAGAGAAGAACACGCAGAACAGUAACUGGUUCUGCGCUGACGGUAUCUAACCAGAAG
rnacentral:rRNA from 1 species